UCCUUCUUAUGCGGGCGGCGGCUGGCUGGCUUUAUUGGUGGCGGCUGCUGCUGGAAUCAGCUCCUAACAAAAAAAAAGGCGAACGUUUGGGCUUCGGCCUGAUUUAGUAGUCUUUUUUUCUUUUAAACCCAUUCCUUAAUACUGAAUAUACUGUGGGGACGAAAGUCUCUGCUUUUAACUAGAUAGCAACUUUCAGCAGUGGAUGUCUAGGCUCGCACAUCGAUGAAGAACGCUGCGAACUGCGAUACGUAAUGCGAAUUGCAGGAUUCAGUGAGUCAUCGAAAUUUUGAACGCAUAUUGCACUUCCGGGUUAGUCCUGGAAGUAUGCCUGUAUCAGUGUCCGUACAUUAAACUUGACUUUCUUCCUUCCGUGUAGUCGGUGGAGGAGAUGUCAGAUGUGAAGUGUCUUGCGAUUGGUCUUCGGACCGGCUGCGAGUCCUUUUAAAUGUACUAAACUGAACUUCUCUUUGCUCGAAAAGUGGUGGCGUUGCUGGUUGUGAAGGCUGCUAUUGUGGCAAAUUGGCGACUGGUUUGUCUGCUGCGGCGUUAAUGGAAGAGUGUUCGAUUCGUGGUAUGGUUGGCUUCGGCUGAACAAUGCACUUAUUGGACGUUUUUCCUGCUGUGGCGUGAUGGACUGGUGAACCAUAGCUCGGUGGCUUGGCUUUUGAAUUGGCUUUGCUGUUGCGAAGUAGGGUGGCAGCUUCGGUUGUCGAGGGUCGAUCCAUUUGGGAACUUAAUGUGUACUUCGGUAUGCAUCUCAAUUGGACCUGAAGCAGUCAAGGGCCGCUAC
rnacentral:rRNA from 1 species